rnacentral:rRNA from 13 species
AGAGUUUGAUCAUGGCUCAGAUUGAACGCUGGCGGCAGGCCUAACACAUGCAAGUCGAGCGGUAGCACAGAGAGCUUGCUCUCGGGUGACGAGCGGCGGACGGGUGAGUAAUGUCUGGGAAACUGCCUGAUGGAGGGGGAUAACUACUGGAAACGGUAGCUAAUACCGCAUAAUGUCGCAAGACCAAAGUGGGGGACCUUCGGGCCUCAUGCCAUCAGAUGUGCCCAGAUGGGAUUAGCUAGUAGGUGGGGUAACGGCUCACCUAGGCGACGAUCCCUAGCUGGUCUGAGAGGAUGACCAGCCACACUGGAACUGAGACACGGUCCAGACUCCUACGGGAGGCAGCAGUGGGGAAUAUUGCACAAUGGGCGCAAGCCUGAUGCAGCCAUGCCGCGUGUGUGAAGAAGGCCUUCGGGUUGUAAAGCACUUUCAGCGGGGAGGAAGGCGGUGAGGUUAAUAACCUCAUCGAUUGACGUUACCCGCAGAAGAAGCACCGGCUAACUCCGUGCCAGCAGCCGCGGUAAUACGGAGGGUGCAAGCGUUAAUCGGAAUUACUGGGCGUAAAGCGCACGCAGGCGGUCUGUCAAGUCGGAUGUGAAAUCCCCGGGCUCAACCUGGGAACUGCAUUCGAAACUGGCAGGCUAGAGUCUUGUAGAGGGGGGUAGAAUUCCAGGUGUAGCGGUGAAAUGCGUAGAGAUCUGGAGGAAUACCGGUGGCGAAGGCGGCCCCCUGGACAAAGACUGACGCUCAGGUGCGAAAGCGUGGGGAGCAAACAGGAUUAGAUACCCUGGUAGUCCACGCCGUAAACGAUGUCGAUUUGGAGGUUGUGCCCUUGAGGCGUGGCUUCCGGAGCUAACGCGUUAAAUCGACCGCCUGGGGAGUACGGCCGCAAGGUUAAAACUCAAAUGAAUUGACGGGGGCCCGCACAAGCGGUGGAGCAUGUGGUUUAAUUCGAUGCAACGCGAAGAACCUUACCUGGUCUUGACAUCCACAGAACUUUCCAGAGAUGGAUUGGUGCCUUCGGGAACUGUGAGACAGGUGCUGCAUGGCUGUCGUCAGCUCGUGUUGUGAAAUGUUGGGUUAAGUCCCGCAACGAGCGCAACCCUUAUCCUUUGUUGCCAGCGGUUAGGCCGGGAACUCAAAGGAGACUGCCAGUGAUAAACUGGAGGAAGGUGGGGAUGACGUCAAGUCAUCAUGGCCCUUACGACCAGGGCUACACACGUGCUACAAUGGCAUAUACAAAGAGAAGCGACCUCGCGAGAGCAAGCGGACCUCAUAAAGUAUGUCGUAGUCCGGAUUGGAGUCUGCAACUCGACUCCAUGAAGUCGGAAUCGCUAGUAAUCGUAGAUCAGAAUGCUACGGUGAAUACGUUCCCGGGCCUUGUACACACCGCCCGUCACACCAUGGGAGUGGGUUGCAAAAGAAGUAGGUAGCUUAACCUUCGGGAGGGCGCUUACCACUUUGUGAUUCAUGACUGGGGUGAAGUCGUAACAAGGUAACCGUAGGGGAACCUGCGGUUGGAUCACCU